GGUGGAAACUGCCUGGCUUGGGACCGGAAGACCAGAGGGGUACGUCUGGGGUAGGAGUGAAAUCCCGUAAUCCUGGACGGACCACCGGUGGCGAAAGCGCCUCUGGAAGACGGAUCCGACGGUGAGGGACGAAAGCUCGGGUCACGAACCGGAUUAGAUACCCGGGUAGUCCGAGCUGUAAACGAUGUCUGCUAGGUGUGCCACAGGCUACGAGCCUGUGGUGUGCCGCAGGGAAGCCGUGAAGCAGACCGCCUGGGAAGUACGUCCGCAAGGAUGAAACUUAAAGGAAUUGGCGGGGGAGCACUACAACCGGAGGAGCCUGCGGUUUAAUUGGACUCAACGCCGGACAUCUCACCAGCAUCGACAGUAGGAGUGACGGUCAGUGUGAUGAGCUUACCAGACCUACUGAGAGGAGGUGCAUGGCCGCCGUCAGCUCGUACCGUGAGGCGUCCUGUUAAGUCAGGCAACGAGCGAGACCCGCACUCCUAAUUGCCAGCAACACCCUUGUGGUGGUUGGGUACAUUAGGAGGACUGCCAGUGCCAAACUGGAGGAAGGAACGGGCAACGGUAGGUCAGUAUGCCCCGAAUGUGCUGGGCAACACGCGGGCUACAAUGGUCGAGACAGUGGGAUGCAACCCCGAGAGGGGGCGCUAAUCU
rnacentral:rRNA from 1 species